UGGGGAAUAUUGCACAAUGGGGGAAACCCGUACGAUGCAGCGACGCCGCGUGAGUGAAGAAGUAUUUCGGUAUGUAAAGCUCUAUCAGCAGGGAAGAUAAUGACGGUACCUGACUAAGAAGCCCCGGCUAACUACGUGCCAGCAGCCGCGGUAAUACGUAGGGGGCGAAGCGUUAUCCGGAUUUACUGGGUGUAAAGGGAGCGUAGGUGGCAAGGCAAGUCAGAUGUGAAAGCCCGGGGCUCAACCCCGGUAUUGCAUUUGAAACUGUCUAGCUAGAGUGCAGGAGAGGUAAGCGGAAUUCCUAGUGUAGCGGUGAAAUGCGUAGAUAUUAGGAAGAACACCGGUGGCGAAGGCGACUUUCUGGACGACAACUGACGCU
rnacentral:rRNA from 1 species